CCCCCAGACUCCUACGGGAGGCAGCAGUGGGGAAUAUUGCACAAUGGGGGGAACCCUGAUGCAGCGACGCCGCGUGGGUGAAGGAGCACCUCGGUGCGUAAAGCCCUAUCGGCAGGGAAGAAACAGACGGUACCUGACUAAGAAGCCCCGGCUAACUACGUGCCAGCAGCCGCGGGAAUACGUAGGGGGCAAGCGUUAUCCGGAUUUACUGGGUGUAAAGGGGGCGCAGACGGCGAUGCAAGCCAGGAGUGAAAGCCCGGGGCCCAACCCCGGGACUGCUCUUGGAACUGCGUGGCUGGAGCGCAGGAGGGGCAGGCGGAAUUCCUGGUGUAGCGGUGAAAUGCGUAGAUAUCAGGAGGAACACCGGCGGCGAAGGCGGCCUGCUGGACCGUGACUGACGUUGAGGCUCGAGAGCGUGGGGAGCAAACAGGAUUAGAUACCCCCGUA
rnacentral:rRNA from 1 species